rnacentral:rRNA from 1 species
UACGUAGGUGGCAAGCGUUGUCCGGAUUUACUGGGCGUAAAGAGCGCGCAGGCGGCUCGAUAAGUCUGCUGUGAAAUCUCCCGGCUUAACUGGGAGGGGUCAGCAGAUACUGUCGGGCUUGAGGCAGGUAGAGGAAGGUGGAAUUCCCGGUGUAGUGGUGAAAUGCGUAGAUAUCGGGAGGAACACCAGUGGCGAAGGCGGCCUUCUGGGCCUGUCCUGACGCUGAGGCGCGAAAGCGUGGGGAGCGAACCGG